UGUUACGUUGAGAGUCUCACAGGUCACAAGAGUCCAGUGAACGCCGUGUCAGCCAGUGAGACGACAGGUGAUAUCGCCACAGUGUGUGAUUCAGUGGGUGGAGGAAGUGAUUUGAGGCUGUGGACGAUCAACGGAGAUUUGAUUGGUCAUGUUCACUGUCGAGAGAUCAUCUCUUCGGUGGCGUUCUCCAAUCAGCCGGAGGGAGUGUCGGUCAAUGUGAUCGCUGGCGGACUGGAGAACGGUGUGGUCAGGUUGUGGAGCACAUGGGACCUGAAGCCAGUCAGAGAG